rnacentral:rRNA from 1 species
UACGUAGGGUGCGAGCGUUGUCCGGAAUUAUUGGGCGUAAAGAGCUCGUAGGCGGUUUGUCGCGUCGACUGUGAAAACCCGGGGCUCAACCCCGGGCCUGCAGUCGAUACGGGCAGGCUAGAGUUCGGCAGGGGAGACUGGAAUUCCUGGUGUAGCGGUGAAAUGCGCAGAUAUCAGGAGGAACACCGGUGGCGAAGGCGGGUCUCUGGGCCGACACUGACGCUGAGGAGCGAAAGCGUGGGGAGCGAACAGG